rnacentral:lncRNA from 1 species
GUACCAGGCUUCCCAGGCGUCCGAGUUGGUCAGGCCUGUGUACCACAGCUGGCCGGCUGCGUCCCGUCCCAUGGGCGUGUACUUCCAGCGUGUGGCCUGCCUGAUGGCUGGUGGCCAGCGGGAACCCUCCAGGGACAGGUAGUCAUCGCUGAGGGUGGGCAGGGGGCAGAGACUGAGCCCAUGUCUACAGCGAGUGCUUUGACCCCUUUGCGAUGUCUGCCAGGGUGGAUGAUGUAGAGGCCUGGCCCACGGCGUGGGGUCUCCCUCCCUCGCCACUUGGAGUCUGUCCUUCAGCCCUGUACCCCUCACCCCAGAGUGGGUGCUUGAGGAGAGAGGCUGACUCCCCCUCUCCCCACACAUCGCACCCCAAGCACCCAAGUCAGCACUAAACCUUUCUGUUCUCAGCUUUUCUUGCCUGGAGAAGAGGGAGGGGAGAGGACAAGGGCCCUGGCUACUCCUGGAUUCCUACAGUCCUUGUCCAGCCUCCAAGACCCACAAGUCCCUUCCUCUGGGAAGCCCCCCUGGCCUGGAGGUGCACCAGGAAGAAGUGGUCUGGGGCUGGCACUAAGCCAUGGCCCAGGGAAGACUGGGGGACCCACUAGGCCAGGAUGAGACCUGCACGCAGUGGCUCACAGCAGCACGAUUUGUGACAGCCCGAGGCGGAGAACACCGAACACCCAGUGAAGGUGAGGGGAUCAGCACGGCGCCGCCACC